UUGCACUAUUAUUUAAGCCUCUUAAGUACCCUGACUGAAGAGGUUACGCUGUAGUGCCAAAACAAAUCACACUUAUGUAGGGCCCAGCGCUCCAUGGCUGUGGCUCUUAUAAAGGGUGAAACAGUU